CCUCUCAUGGUGCAGUGGUAACGCGCCCCAACUAGAGAUCGGGGAGUCGUGAGUUCGAUUCUCACUGAGAAGA
rfam:Aedes aegypti strain Liverpool supercont1.438 genomic scaffold, whole genome shotgun sequence.